rnacentral:tRNA from 1 species
UCCCUGGUGGCUCAGACAGCGUCUGCCUGCAAUGCAGAAGACCUGGGUUUGAUCCCUGGGUCGGGAA